GCAGUAGGGAAUCUUCCGCAAUGGGUGAGAGCCUGACGGAGCAACGCCGCGUGAAUGAAGAAGGCCUUCGGGUUGUAAAGUUCUGUCCUUGGGGAAGAACGGUAGAUACAGGCAAUGGUAUUUACGUGACGGUACCUGAGGAGGAAGCCCUGGCUAACUACGUGCCAGCAGCCGCGGUAAUACGUAGAGGGCAAGCGUUGUCCGGAAUCAUUGGGCGUAAAGGGUACGCAGGUGGAUAUGCAAGUCAAAUGUGAAAGGUACCGGCCCAACCGGUAGAGUGCAUUUGAAACUGUAUAUCUUGAGUACAGCAGAGGAGAACGGAAUUCCUGGAGUAGCGGUGGAAUGCGUAGAUAUCAGGAAGAACACCAGUGGCGUAAGCGGUUCUCUGGGCUGUAACUGACGCUGAGGUACGAAAGCUGGGGUAGCGAACGGGAUUAGAUACCCCGGUAGUCCCAGCUGUAAACGAUGGACACUAGGUGUUGGGGGUUCGAUUCCCUCAGUGCCGCAGUUAACGCAUUAAGUGUCCCGCCUGGGGAUUACGGUCGCAAGACUGAAACUCAAAGGAAUUGACGG
rnacentral:rRNA from 1 species